rnacentral:rRNA from 1 species
UACAGAGGGUGCAAGCGUUUAAUCGGAAUUACUGGGCGUAAAGCGUGCGUAGACGGUUACAUAAGUCGGGUGUGAAAGCCCCGGGCUCAACCUGGGAAUUGCAUUCGAGACUGCGUAGCUAGGGUGCGGAAGAGGGAAGCGGAAUUUCCGGUGUAGCGGUGAAAUGCGUAGAUAUCGGAAGGAACACCAGUGGCGAAAGCGGCUUCCUGGUCCAGCACCGACGUUCAGGCACGAAAGCGUGGGGAGC